rnacentral:piRNA from 1 species
CAUGUUGUAGAUAAUUUAUGUGG